rnacentral:misc_RNA from 1 species
AAGACUAUAGACCUGCGGAGUACCUGCGGAGGGAUCAUUAUUGAAUUUUCCUAAAGAAAAAUUUUGUAUCUUGCUAUUCUCUUGAAAGAGAGGAUAAGUACAGUACAAGAUUUUUCUCAAACAAACGAUCACAACUAAUAAUUGAAUUGGUUUGGUUUGGUUUGGUUUGGCUUGAUAUAACAAGUGUUUGCCUGAUAAUCAAGAUGAUUUGGAUUGGAGAAAGAAAUACAACUUUUAACA